rnacentral:rRNA from 1 species
CGGGUGAGUAACGCGUAGGAACCUGUCAUGGAGUGGGGGAUAACGUUGGGAAACCGGCGCUAAUACCGCAUGUGAUCUCGGGGAACCGAGAGGAAAGCAGCAAUGCGCUCGAUGAGGGGCCUGCGUCCGAUUAGCUAGUUGGUGGGGUAAAGGCCUACCAAGGCGACGAUCGGUAGCUGGUCUGAGAGGAUGGUCAGCCACACUGGGACUGAGACACGGCCCAG